ACCGGUAUGAGAUAAAAGAAGAGGAAAUCCCCUGCCUCCCGAUCUCAUCUUGACCUCCAGGCUCGAGCGCUUCGCCACCUCCCGCCGGCCGCCCCCCUCUCCCCUCGCCGCCGCGCGCCGCCACCGACGCCGUGGCCAUUGGCGGAUCCCCCCGCCCCUGCUACCAUGGUGCCGCCGGGACUCCUCCCCGCUGCUGAAAUUCCCCAUCGCCAUCCCAAGGGCCUCGCCCGCUGCGCUCCCCUGGACCCUGAGCGCCGCCGCCCCAGCCACCCUCGAGCCUCCACCAGGUGACCCCAGGCGCCGCUGAUCUUGUGUUCUGCUGCUCGAAGAUUCCCCUGCUCGCUGCCCUCUCCCUCCCACUCCAUGGUGCACGGGGCAGGGGGAACCGGAUGGCGGCGGCGGCAUGAUCUCCGGUAAGCGGUGGGGCCGGGAUCCGGUGGCGGCGGCAAGCUCCUGUAAAUAGGCGGUGAUCGAGAGAGAGGGAUUGAGAGAAAGCGAGAUGCAGGGGAGAGAGUUGGGAAGGAAGGAGAAGAAGAUGAGCAUGGGCAGUGGGGCGUACGAGACACAGAGGGCGGAGGGAAGGAGGAUAAGGACAAAUGGCAGGGGCGGCCUGUGUGAUUGCUUCGGUGAUGGCGUCCGGCGUCGGUUCAUACCUCGGCGCGCAGCCGCAAUCCCUCCCCUCCACCGUCUCCAAGUGGUGUAGGCUGCUGCAAUCUCGCUAUCUCAGCGAUGUCCCAGCUGUGCGCCAGAGCCAGCCAGCAAGACCACUAUGUAGCCCAGGCCCAGAAUUGGUCAAUUUUAUGCAACUGCAAUACACAACGACACACAAAAUAGAUGCUCCUAGGCUUGAUCUUUCAACUGCAACUAAACAUACUCGCCCAAUACUUAUUAUCGCACUUUUCUCGACUAAACAUACUCUGUCCCGUGAGGAGGAUUUCAGGGGAGAUCGACUACUGUAAGUCUGUGACGAUAACAAGAGGGUGAUAUUUGAGCUGGACUCUUGCGAACAACAGGUUCAGGAGCUCCAAGCCAACCCGGUCAAAAAAAACGGCCAUUGCCUUGAAAAAGAUCUCUACGCGCCUUGUGAAAUUUCUGAUGUAGUUUGGAAAUAUGAGUGAGAACUGCAAGUACGUUGAUACUGCCCUCUAUGUAUCGAAUCCAAGGAUUUUUUUAAUAUAUAUUCUUUUUGUUAAUUUCAAGGGAGGAAGAGAACUCCAGUACUAUGGUAAUGUUCUUGAUUCUGAUUCUCCAUGGUUGAUAAUGUUGUUUAGGACCCUAAGCUUUGUCAUGGCUGAUUUAAAUAGGCAAAGUUGGUUUAGAAGGAAAGCACUGCUACUAAUUUUAGAACUAGGAUGUCAUUUUUGACAGUUGUCAGGUAUUGCUUAUUUGCAUUGUAAGAUCACAAUUCUAAGAUUAAUCUGUUUAGUUGUGUAGCAUUGCAUAUUUGGGUCCUUGAAUUUUCUCCUCGAAGAUCAACACAUUUGGUCAGAUUUGGCUUAUUUAAUAAUUAGCAAACAAUAAAUAUUGAACAUCUAUGCAGUGCGACAUUUCUUAUGGAUGGUCAGGUCGACACCGGCAACAUCGUCUUCAUUGUACCAAGGUUCUGCUGCUCCUACAACGGCAACCUUCUACUUCCCGAACAUGACCAUUGCAGCUAUCCUUGCUGCUGUAAAUUUUGUUUCUUUUCUUUCCCAUAAAUUAUGGAUAUAUGGGCAUUCUGAUCAGGUAAUGUUCUUCGCUAAGAUUUGAUAUUUGAAGCAUGAUGUUUGCGAUCAGGUAAUUUUCCUAGGGUCCUUCAGAUGUCGAUGUCGAUGUUGAUGGAAAAUACACAUGUUGCAUACCUUUUUUGAAAUCAGAAGUGGAUACUAACAUUUCACAUCAUGAUAUUGUAGUUUAUAGUGCUAAGCUUGACUCCUUCAUGGUUAUAAUAAUGGACUUACAGUGAGUUGAUUUGUAGUUAACUUUGUCAUCAAGUGGCUGGCUUUUAUCUGAACAAUGCAGUCUUGCAUUCUCUAGGGAGGCAGAGCAAGUCCUUCCUUCUGAUUUGAAUUUGGGGAUUCGAUGAUUUCUUUUGGAUUUAUCAUGUCUAUUUGAUAAGCAAACAUGAGAUGCAAAACAUGUUUUUCCAGUAGAAAUGAAUUCAUGGACUACUGGAACUCCUACAGAUUUGAAGUUGUAUGCUGGAUCGACUGCAUGUUUUAUUCAGGGUUUAUCAGUUCAUCAUUCCCAUUAGUUCAGUCGUGGUGAGAAACAUAUGCACGUUUUUAUGCCAAAAGCUGUGAAUAUUUGUUCUCAUAGUGUAUGUAAGUAAACUGAUGAUGCAUGUCAUGGCUAAGGAUUUGGUUCCAACAGAAGCAACACAUAUUCAUCUUGCCUGCUGUCAGUCUGAUUUUCCUGAGCCUACACUUGAGCCAAGAAUUCAUUGCCCUUUUUUUAACAGGCUGCAGUAACGAGUUUGCCACUACUUCAAUGAAUAUAAUGGAGUAUAGUCGUCAUUAUGUAUGCAAAAGCGUGUAUCAAAAUUUCAAUUACCAUGGCGCAUUUAAUUCUCUUGGAGUACUAAACAAUCAUGCGGCUCUCCACAGAUUUAAAAUUCAUGUAGGAUAAUAGGGGUGCACUACUUUGUUGGGAGGGAGAUAAUUGGUUGAACGGAUAGCGUCGAUGCCUUGCAAAGUUCCGCAGAGAACAAGCUAUCUUGGAAUUUCUUUCAAAUGCAGAAAGUUUCGAGCAAGCAAAACUAUACUCUGUAAAUAAUCUUCCUGAACCAGAGUUCUUAA